AUUGAACGCUGGCGGCAGGCCUAACACAUGCAAGUCGAACGCGUCGCGGACGUGUGAGUAAUGUCUGGAAAACUGCAUGGUGGAGGGGGAUAUCUUUUGGAAACGGUAUCUAAUACCGCAUUCUAUCAUAUGUCCCCAGAUGAGAUUAGCUAGUUGGUGGGGUAACGGCUCACCAAGGCGACGAUCCCUAGCUGGUAUGAGAGGAUGACCAGCCACACUGGAACUGAGACACGGUCCAGACUCCUACGGGAGGCAGCAGUGGGGAAUAUUGCACAAUGGGCGCAAGCCUGAUGCAGCAAUGCCGCGUGUGUGAAGAAGGCCUUCGGGUUGUAAAGCACUUUCAGCGGGGAGGCGUUAACCGCAGAAGAAGCACCGGCUAACUCCGUGCCAGCAGCCGCGGUAAUAC
rnacentral:rRNA from 1 species